rnacentral:rRNA from 1 species
AGAGUUUGAUCAUGGCUCAGAUUGAACGCUGGCGGCGUGCUUAACACAUGCAAGUCGAACGAGAAAGGGACUUCGGUCCUGAGUAGAGUGGCGCACGGGUGAGUAACGCGUAGGUAAUCUACCUCUGCAUCUGGGAUAACACUUCGAAAGGGGUGCUAAUACCGGAUACACUUAUGGAUCGCAAGRUCUAUAAGGAAAGGAGACCUCUCCUUGGAAGUUUCUGUGUAGAGAUGAGCCUGCGUCCCAUUAGCUAGUUGGCAGGGUAAUGGCCUACCAAGGCGACGAUGGGUAGCGGGUCUGAGAGGAUGAUCCGCCACACUGGAACUGAAACACGGACCAGACUCCUACGGGAGGCAGCAGUGAGGAAUAUUGCGCAAUGGGGGCAACCCUGACGCAGCGACGCCGCGUGGACGAUGAAGGCCCUUGGGUCGUAAAAUCCUGUCAGAUGGAAAGAAAUGUACAGGUGUUAAUAUCGCCUGUAUUUGACGGUACCAUCAAAGGAAGCACCGGCUAACUCCGUGYCAGCAGCCGCGGUAAUA